GGUUAAGCGACUAAGCGUACACGGUGGAUGCCCUGGCAGUCAGAGGCGAUGAAGGACGUGCUAAUCUGCGAAAAGCGUCGGUAAGGUGAUAUGAACCGUUAUAACCGGCGAUGUCCGAAUGGGGAAACCCAGUGUGUUCCGACACACUAUCAUUAACUGAAUCCAUAGGUUAAUGAGGCGAACCGGGGGAACUGAAACAUCUAAGUACCCCGAGGAAAAGAAAUCAACCGAGAUUCCCCCAGUAGCGGCGAGCGAACGGGGAGGAGCCCAGAGCCUGAAUCAGUGUGUGUGUUAGUGGAAGCGUCUGGAAAGGCGCGCGAUACAGGGUGACAGCCCCGUACACAAAAAUGCACAUGCUGUGAGCUCGAUGAGUAGGGCGGGACACGUGGUAUCCUGUCUGAAUAUGGGGGGACCAUCCUCCAAGGCUAAAUACUCCUGACUGACCGAUAGUGAACCAGUACCGUGAGGGAAAGGCGAAAAGAACCCCGGCGAGGGGAGUGAAAAAGAACCUGAAACCGUGUACGUACAAGCAGUGGGAGCCUCUUAAUGGGGUGACUGCGUACCUUUUGUAUAAUGGGUCAGCGACUUAUAUUCUGUAGCAAGGUUAACCGAAUAGGGGAGCCGGAGGGAAACCGAGUCUUAACUGGGCGUUAAGUUGCAGGGUAUAGACCCGAAACCCGGUGAUCUAGCCAUGGGCAGGUUGAAGGUUGGGUAACACUAACUGGAGGACCGAACCGACUAAUGUUGAAAAAUUAGCGGAUGACUUGUGGCUGGGGGUGAAAGGCCAAUCAAACCGGGAGAUAGCUGGUUCUCCCCGAAAGCUAUUUAGGUAGCGCCUCGUGAAUUCAUCUCCGGGGGUAGAGCACUGUUUCGGCAAGGGGGUCAUCCCGACUUACCAACCCGAUGCAAACUGCGAAUACCGGAGAAUGUUAUCACGGGAGACACACGGCGGGUGCUAACGUCCGUCGUGAAGAGGGAAACAACCCAGACCGCCAGCUAAGGUCCCAAAGUCAUGGUUAAGUGGGAAACGAUGUGGGAAGGCCCAGACAGCCAGGAUGUUGGCUUAGAAGCAGCCAUCAUUUAAAGAAAGCGUAAUAGCUCACUGGUCGAGUCGGCCUGCGCGGAAGAUGUAACGGGGCUAAACCAUGCACCGAAGCUGCGGCAGCGACGCUGAUGCGUUGUUGGGUAGGGGAGCGUUCUGUAAGCCUGUGAAGGUGUGCUGUGAGGCAUGCUGGAGGUAUCAGAAGUGCGAAUGCUGACAUAAGUAACGAUAAAGCGGGUGAAAAGCCCGCUCGCCGGAAGACCAAGGGUUCCUGUCCAACGUUAAUCGGGGCAGGGUGAGUCGACCCCUAAGGCGAGGCCGAAAGGCGUAGUCGAUGGGAAACAGGUUAAUAUUCCUGUACUUGGUGUUACUGCGAAGGGGGGACGGAGAAGGCUAUGUUGGCCGGGCGACGGUUGUCCCGGUUUAAGCGUGUAGGCUGGUUUUCCAGGCAAAUCCGGAGAAUCAAGGCUGAGGCGUGAUGACGAGGCACUACGGUGCUGAAGCAACAAAUGCCCUGCUUCCAGGAAAAGCCUCUAAGCAUCAGGUAGCAUCAAAUCGUACCCCAAACCGACACAGGUGGUCAGGUAGAGAAUACCAAGGCGCUUGAGAGAACUCGGGUGAAGGAACUAGGCAAAAUGGUGCCGUAACUUCGGGAGAAGGCACGCUGAUGGUAGGUGAAGCGACUUGCUCGUGGAGCUGAAAUCAGUCGAAGAUACCAGCUGGCUGCAACUGUUUAUUAAAAACACAGCACUGUGCAAACACGAAAGUGGACGUAUACGGUGUGACGCCUGCCCGGUGCCGGAAGGUUAAUUGAUGGGGUCAGCGCAAGCGAAGCUCUUGAUCGAAGCCCCGGUAAACGGCGGCCGUAACUAUAACGGUCCUAAGGUAGCGAAAUUCCUUGUCGGGUAAGUUCCGACCUGCACGAAUGGCGUAAUGAUGGCCAGGCUGUCUCCACCCGAGACUCAGUGAAAUUGAACUCGCUGUGAAGAUGCAGUGUACCCGCGGCAAGACGGAAAGACCCCGUGAACCUUUACUAUAGCUUGACACUGAACACUGGUCCUUGAUGUGUAGGAUAGGUGGGAGGCUUUGAAGUGUGGACGCCAGUCUGCAUGGAGCCGUCCUUGAAAUACCACCCUUUAAUGGCUGGUGUUCUAACGUUGGCCCCUUAUCGGGGUUGCGGACAGUGUCUGGUGGGUAGUUUGACUGGGGCGGUCUCCUCCUAAAGAGUAACGGAGGAGCACGAAGGUUGGCUAAUCCUGGUCGGACAUCAGGAGGUUAGUGCAAUGGCAUAAGCCAGCUUGACUGCGAGCGUGACGGCGCGAGCAGGUGCGAAAGCAGGUCAUAGUGAUCCGGUGGUUCUGAAUGGAAGGGCCAUCGCUCAACGGAUAAAAGGUACUCCGGGGAUAACAGGCUGAUACCGCCCAAGAGUUCAUAUCGACGGCGGUGUUUGGCACCUCGAUGUCGGCUCAUCACAUCCUGGGGCUGAAGUAGGUCCCAAGGGUAUGGCUGUUCGCCAUUUAAAGUGGUACGCGAGCUGGGUUUAGAACGUCGUGAGACAGUUCGGUCCCUAUCUGCCGUGGGCGCUGGAGAACUGAGGGGGCUGCUCCUAGUACGAGAGGACCGGAGUGGACGCAUCACUGGUGUUCGGGUUGUCAUGCCAAUGGCACUGCCCGGUAGCUAAAUGCGGAAGAGAUAAGUGCUGAAAGCAUCUAAGCACGAAACUUGCCCCGAGAUGAGUUCUCCCUGAGACUUAGAGUCUCCUGAAGGAACGUUGAAGACGACGACGUUGAUAGGCCGGGUGUGUAAGCGCAGCGAUGCGUUGAGCUAACCGGUACUAAUGAACCGUGAGGCUUAACCUU
rnacentral:rRNA from 1 species